rnacentral:rRNA from 1 species
AGUGAACGCUGGCGGUAGGCCUAACACAUGCAAGUCGAACGGCAGCACAGUAAGAGCUUGCUCUUACGGGUGGCGAGUGGCGGACGGGUGAGGAAUACAUCGGAAUCUUCUUUUUCGUGGGGGAUAACGUAGGGAAACUUACGCUAAUACCGCAUACGACCUACGGGUGAAAGCAGGGGAUCUUCGGACCUUGCGCGAUUGAAUGAGCCGAUGUCGGAUUAGCUAGUUGGCGGGGUAAAGGCCCACCAAGGCGACGAUCCGUAGCUGGUCUGAGAGGAUGAUCAGCCACACUGGAACUGAGACACGGUCCAGACUCCUACGGGAGGCAGCAGUGGGGAAUAUUGGACAAUGGGCGCAAGCCUGAUCCAGCCAUACCGCGUGGGUGAAGAAGGCCUUCGGGUUGUAAAGCCCUUUUGUUGGGAAAGAAAAGCAGCAGGUUAAUACCCCGCAGUUCUGACGGUACCCAAAGAAUAAGCACCGGCUAACUUCGUG